rnacentral:lncRNA from 1 species
ACCAAACCGUUGUGCACACCACACACACAAAACCAUCACUAUCAUCAUCACCAUUCAUGUUGCAAAUUAGAAAUUACAAUCAGUUGAUUAUUCGAACCACAACAAAACAACUCCACAUACACAAUAAUCACCAUCAUCAUUCAAGCUUACAUAUUACAGCCAGUCGAUGGCCGACUGUACCACACCAAACACUCACACCCACACACAGAAGGAGCUCAUGCUGCACUCGGAUUUAUUUUUGUCAUUUGCUCGAAAGCAACCAGAUGAACAGUGCUUUGAUGGACCGAGCAAGGAUGGCCAAAUCAAAUCAAACCAAAACCAAACCAAACCAAAUCAAAUGAAACUGCAAGGGGCGUCACCGCACUAAGGCAAUGAUGAUGUAGGGAACACCACAAACCAAUCAAGCAGCAAGCAGGGCAAGCAACAUAUACACGGCAGGAAAGCUUCAGUUAUGUAGGUCUGCAUGAUGACGCACAUGCAUUCAGGUUGGACGAGCCCGAAGGUUGAUUCACGGGAGAGGUGAAUUACCUGCGGCAUAAUAAACCAACAUUUGGUAGGGAUGAUUAAACAUAUGGACUUUCAAAGGAUACAGUAGAUAAGUUGGUUUUUGUUCUAGAAAAGAGAAGCUAGUGAUUUGUUCAGCACAAAAUUAAGUUUAUUUGCAGAGUAGGAGAGAUGGAGUAAUAUGUGUGUAGCUCACCUGAGUAUGGUGCCUCUGGGCAGCUCGGCCUUGUAGUACAGCGAGUGGCUUGGCUCGUAGAGGGAAGGGUGAUGGUACUUAUUCAACCCGUCCCACUCAAGGUUAUCC